CAGGCAACCUGUGCUCUCAGGCUUGCCCAGUCCCUACCCAGACAAGUGUGGAGCAGUCUGGGAUGUCACACGUCUGGGGUAGUAGCUGUGGUCUUCCUGGGUCCCAGACUGGUGGCUGCAGAUGCUGCAUCCUCAGGAGAUAAGACAGACUCUACAUGGAGAUGUGUUUUGCCUGCAUGAAAGUCAGCGCACCAUGUGCAUGUAAUGCCAAUGAACGCCAGGAGAGGACUUGAGCUACAGACAUUGUGAGCGGCUGUGUGGUGUUGGAAAUCAACCUCUGCUCCUUGGAAGAGCAGCCAAGUGCUAAGGCAAUGAACCAAGGAGGGCAGAGGACAAAACUCUUUCUUCCCUCCAGAUGUGAGCCCCAGUCUGGAAUGUCAGCCACACACAGAGCACAUGACAGGAAAACCUCAAG